rnacentral:lncRNA from 1 species
GGUUCUCACGGUGAAGAUUAUUCGCAACAAACAAACUGGACAACCUGAAGGCUAUGGUUUUAUUGAGUUCAGGAGUCGUGCUGGUGCAGAAAAUGCUUUACAGACCUACAAUGGGACACUGAUGCCAUCUACUGAGCAGAAUUUUCGCCUUAACUGGGCAACCCUUGGUGCUGGUGAGAGACGCAAUGAUGACACUCCUGACUACACAAUCUUUGUUGGUGAUCUUGCUGCUGAUGUUUCGGAUUACAUAUUGCAAGAAACGUUCAAAACUGUUUACCCGUCAGUCAAGGGAGCGAAAGUUGUCACUGAUAGAACUACUGGACGUUCUAAAGGAU